GCUUUCAUAAAAGCACAUCUAUAUUUGGUCAUGCACAAAAUAAUUAUAGUAAGAGUUUCAUUUUCCUUUUUGAUAGAUAUAAAUCUAGCGUGAGGCACACGUGUUACAUCUACACUCUCAAUCAUUGAUAAACAACAUUGAACAAUUCUAGAAAAAUCUUUAUUUUAUGAAAAACAAGCGUUUGUUGAAACGGAUAUAGUAUGGUGGAAGCGGAAGUCGAAAAAUAAGGCCUUUUUAUGUGGACACCGGGAGCUGAAGAGCUGAUCUAUAGGAACGAAAACGUGCUUGUAGACAAAGAUGAUGCAGAAUGUAUAUGUCAACAAAACUUUGGUCUACAUAAAAAAAAUAUUACCAGGAAGAAAGAUUACAGCAAGGUACCUACUGACUGUGAUGGUGUUUUGGUACAUGGUAGUUGAUAUCAGAGUUCUAUUAUAUCAGCCAUGGAAAGAUAAAAACAGAGUCAGAAACUUUGUAGAUAUAAUGCCAUCUGAGGUUGGUUAAGAAUUAUAUUGUAUUUUUGUGAUCAGUACCGACACUUAGAAUGCAAUAAGUAAAAUUUAAAAGUGUACACAUAUGAUGGGGAUGUGAAAGUUGGUCUUUUAAUGUAUACUUUUACUUCGUUCUUAAUUUAUUAUUUAUAUUUAAAAAUGGACUUGCCAGAGUUUGGUACGAUAAUAACUUAUCAUAACUUACUUACAUAUGAAUUGAUUGCCCAUUUAAC